rnacentral:rRNA from 1 species
GACGAACGCUGGCGGCGUGCUUAACACAUGCAAGUCGAACGGAAAGGCCCUGCUUUUGUGGGGUGCUCGAGUGGCGAACGGGUGAGUAACACGUGAGUAACCUGCCCUUGACUUUGGGAUAACUUCAGGAAACUGGGGCUAAUACCGGAUAGGAGCUCCUGCUGCAUGGUGGGGGUUGGAAAGUUUCGGCGGUUGGGGAUGGACUCGCGGCUUAUCAGCUUGUUGGUGGGGUAGUGGCUUACCAAGGCUUUGACGGGUAGCCGGCCUGAGAGGGUGACCGGCCACAUUGGGACUGCGAUACGGCCCAGACUGCUACGGGAGGCAGCAGUGGGGAAUAUUGCACAAUGGGCGGAAGCCUGAUGCAGCAACGCCGCGUGCGGGAUGACGGCCUUCGGGUUGUAAACCGCUUUCGCCUGUGACGAAGCGUGAGUGACGGUAAUGGGUAAAGAAGCACCGGCUAACUACGUG